rnacentral:rRNA from 1 species
CAGAUUGAACGCUGGCGGCGUGCUAACACAUGCAAGUCGAACGCGAACGGGGCUUCGGCCCCAAGUAGAGUGGCGCACGGGUGAGUAACGCGUGGACAAUCUGCCCUUAUGACUGGAAUAACAGUGGAAACGGCUGCUAAUACCGGAUACGCUCAGGAAGAACUUUUUGAGGAAAGGCGGCCUCUGCUUGCAAGCUGUCGCAUAAGGAUGAGUCCGCGUCCCAUUAGCUAGUUGGCGGGGUAACGGCCCACCAAGGCAACGAUGGGUAGCCGAUUUGAGAGGAUGAUCGGCCACACUGGGACUGAAACACGGCCCAGACUCCUACGGGAGGCAGCAGUGGGGAAUAUUGCGCAAUGGGCGAAAGCCUGACGCAGCGACGCCGCGUGAGGGAUGAAGGUUUUUCCGGAUCGUAAACCUCUGUCAGAAGGGAAGAAACUGCCGUGCUCUAAUCAUCAUGGCAUUGACGGUACCUUCAAAGGAAGCACCGGCUAACUCCGUGCCAGCAGCCGC